GUGCCCACAUUGGCAGCACACAUACUAAAAUUGGAACAGUACGGAAAAGAUUGGCAUGGCCCUUGUGCAAGUGUGAUGUGCAGAUUCAUGAAGCACUCCCUAUUGUC